GAUGAACGCUAGCUACAGGCUUAACACAUGCAAGUCGAGGGGAAACGAUAUUGGAAGCUUGCUUCCGAUAGGCGUCGACCGGCGCACGGGUGAGUAACGCGUAUCCAACCUGCCCAUCACUUGGGAAUAACCUUGCGAAAGUAAGACUAAUGCCCAAUGACAUUUAUAGAAGGCAUCUGAAAUGAAUUAAAGAUUUAUCGGUGAUGGAUGGGGAUGCGUCUGAUUAGCUUGUUGGCGGGGUAACGGCCCACCAAGGCGACGAUCAGUAGGGGUUCUGAGAGGAAGGUCCCCCACAUUGGUACUGAGACACGGACCAGACUCCUACGGGAGGCAGCAGUGAGGAAUAUUGGUCAAUGGGCGCAGGCCUGAACCAGCCAAGUCGCGUGAGGGAAGACGGUCCUACGGAUUGUAAACCUCUUUUGUCGGGGAGUAACGUGCGGGACGCGUCCCGUAUUGAGAGUACCCGAAGAAAAAGCAAUCGGCUAACUCCGUG
rnacentral:rRNA from 1 species